GACGAACGCUGGCGGUGUGCUUAACACAUGCAAGUCGAACGGUAAGGCCCUUUCGGGGGUCCACGAGUGGCGAACGGGUGAGUAACACGUGAGUAACCUGCCCUCAUCUCUGGGAUAACAGUCGGAAACGGUUGCUAAAACUGGAUAUGAGCUUGCAAGGCAUCUUGUGGGUUGGAAAGAUUUUUUUGGUUGGGGAUGGACUCGCGGCCUAUCAGCUUGUUGGUGAGGUAGUGGCUCACCAAGGCUUCGACGGGUAGCCGGCCUGAGAGGGCGACCGGCCACAUUGGGACUGAGAUACGGCCCAACCUCCUACGGGAGGCAGCAGUGGGGAAUAUUGCACAAUGGACGGAAGUCUGAUGCAGCAACGCCGCGUGCGGGAUGACGGCCUUCGGGUUGUAAACCGCUUUCAAUUGUGACGAAGCUUUUUGUGACGGUAGCAGUAGAAGAAGCACCGGCUAACUACGUG
rnacentral:rRNA from 1 species